rnacentral:rRNA from 1 species
AGAGUUUGAUCCUGGCUCAGGACGAACGCUGGCGGCGUGCCUAAUACAUGCAAGUGGAACGCACUUAUCUCACCGGAGCUUGCUCCACCGAGAUAAGUGAGUCGCGAACGGGUGAGUAACGCGUAGGUAACCUGCCUCAUAGCGGGGGAUAACUAUUGGAAACGAUAGCUAAUACCGCAUAACAACAUUUAUCGCAUGGUAGAUGUUUGAAAGGAGCAAUUGCUUCACUAUGAGAUGGACCUGCGUUGUAUUAGCUAGUUGGUGGGGUAACGGCUCACCAAGGCUUCGAUACAUAGCCGACCUGAGAGGGUGAUCGGCCACACUGGGACUGAGACACGGCCCAGACUCCUACGGGAGGCAGCAGUAGGGAAUCUUCGGCAAUGGGGGCAACCCUGACCGAGCAACGCCGCGUGAGUGAAGAAGGUUUUCGGAUCGUAAAGCUCUGUUGUAAGAGAAGAACUGUGAGAAGAGUGGAAAGUUUCUCACUUGACGGUAUCUUACCAGAAAGGGACGGCUAACUACGUGCCAGCAGCCGCGGUAAUACGUAGGUCCCGAGCGUUGUCCGGAUUUAUUGGGCGUAAAGCGAGCGCAGGCGGUUUGAUAAGUCUGAAGUAAAAGGCUGUGGCUUAACCAUAGUACGCUUUGGAAACUGUCAAACUUGAGUGCAGAAGGGGAGAGUGGAAUUCCAUGUGUAGCGGUGAAAUGCGUAGAUAUAUGGAGGAACACCGGUGGCGAAAGCGGCUCUCUGGUCUGUAACUGACGCUGAGGCUCGAAAGCGUGGGGAGCGAACAGGAUUAGAUACCCUGGUAGUCCACGCCGUAAACAAUGAGUGCUAGGUGUUGGGUCCUUUCCGGGACUCAGUGCCGCAGCUAACGCAUUAAGCACUCCGCCUGGGGAGUACGACCGCAAGGUUGAAACUCAAAGGAAUUGACGGGGGCCCGCACAAGCGGUGGAGCAUGUGGUUUAAUUCGAAGCAACGCGAAGAACCUUACCAGGUCUUGACAUCCCGAUGACCGCCCUAGAGAUAGGGUUUCUCCUCGGAGCAUCGGUGACAGGUGGUGCAUGGUUGUCGUCAGCUCGUGUCGUGAGAUGUUGGGUUAAGUCCCGCAACGAGCGCAACCCCUAUUGUUAGUUGCCAUCAUUCAGUUGGGCACUCUAGCGAGACUGCCGGUAAUAAACCGGAGGAAGGUGGGGAUGACGUCAAAUCAUCAUGCCCCUUAUGACCUGGGCUACACACGUGCUACAAUGGCUGGUACAACGAGUCGCAAGUCGGUGACGGCAAGCUAAUCUCUUAAAGCCAGUCUCAGUUCGGAUUGUAGGCUGCAACUCGCCUACAUGAAGUCGGAAUCGCUAGUAAUCGCGGAUCAGCACGCCGCGGUGAAUACGUUCCCGGGCCUUGUACACACCGCCCGUCACACCACGAGAGUUUGUAACACCCGAAGUCGGUGAGGUAACCUUUUAGGAGCCAGCCGCCUAAGGUGGGAUAGAUGAUUGGGGUGAAGUCGUAACAAGGUAGCCGUAUCGGAAGGUGCGGCUG